rnacentral:rRNA from 1 species
CGUUCCCGGACCUUGUACANACCGCCCGUCAAGCGAUGGAAGUUGGGAGGGACCUGAAGGCAGUAGCUGUGAGGCGCUGUUUAGGGUUAAACCGAUAACUGGCNCU